GCCCAGAUGGCGGAAUUGGUAGACGCGUCAGACUCAAAAUCUGGUGUCCGCAAGGAUGUGCAGGUUCGAUUCCUGUUCUGGGCA
rnacentral:tRNA from 1 species